rnacentral:rRNA from 1 species
AUUGAACGCUGGCGGCAGGCCUAACACAUGCAAGUCGAACGGUAACAGGAAGUAGCUUGCUACUUUGCUGACGAGUGGCGGACGGGUGAGUAAUGUCUGGGGAUCUGCCUGAUGGAGGGGGAUAACUACUGGAAACGGUAGCUAAUACCGCAUAAUGUCGCAAGACCAAAGCGGGGGACUUUCGGGCCUCGCACCAUCAGAUGAACCCAGAUGGGAUUAGCUAGUAGGUAGGGUAAUGGCUUACCUAGGCGACGAUCCCUGGCUGGUCUGAGAGGAUGACCAGCCACACUGGAACUGAGACACGGUCCAGACUCCUACGGGAGGCAGCAGUGGGGAAUAUUGCACAAUGGGCGCAAGCCUGAUGCAGCCAUGCCGCGUGUAUGAAGAAGGCCUUCGGGUUGUAAAGUACUUUCAGUCAGGAGGAAGGGUGUGAAAUUAAUACUUUCAUGCAUUGACGUUACUGACAGAAGAAGCACCGGCUAACUCCGUGCCAGCAGCCGCCGCCG